AAGUUGAUAGCCACCCAGCUAAAGCUAUCUUAAAAGAAUGCUGGGAACACAUUCCAAUAUCUCCUGAUUCACACUCCAGCCCAGUCGGUGGCGGUAAAUGCACCGUUAAGUUGGUUUGCCAACCGCCAAAAAAA